rnacentral:sRNA from 1 species
GCAGGAAAGGGUUAAAACUGCAGGCUUCUGGAUUAUCCACCCUUACAGUGAUUUCAGGCGCUGGGUAUCCUCGCUGUGUUUACUCAGAAACAGCGGCCGGCAGGCAAGAGAAGGGCAAUUUGCA